rnacentral:rRNA from 1 species
AGUCGUACAGGUUUCCGUAGGUGAACCUGCGGAAGGAUCAUUAUUGAUUGGUCGAAAGACCUUAUCAGAUUCUACCACCUCUGUGAACCGUUGACCUCCGGGUUAAUAAUCAAACAUCAGUGUAACGAACGUAAGAGUAUCUUAAUUAAACAAAACUUUUAACAACGGAUCUCUUGGCUCUCGCAUCGAUGAAGAACGCAGCGAAAUGCGAUAAGUAAUGUGAAUUGCAGAAUUCAGUGAAUCAUCGAAUCUUUGAACGCACCUUGCGCCUUUUGGUAUUCCGAAAGGCAUGCCUGUUUCAGUGUCAUGAAAUCUCAAUCUAAUAUGUUUUCUGAACAUGUUAGGCUUGGACUUGGGUGUCUGCCAGCAAUGGCUCACCUCAAAUGACUUAGUGGAACAUCCCACAUCAGUGUUAGACGUAAUAAGUUUCGUCUCUCCUUGUGGUGAUGACUGCUCAAAACCUGCCAUCGCGCACCUUUUGACUUUGACCUGAAAUCAGGUAGGGCUACCCGCUGAACUUA